CUUGUCUCGCCUUCUUCCUGUUCAGUAGGAACCUGUCUGGGGUCGUGUCUUGAAUGAAUUCUACACUAUGGAAGAAACAUGAUGAUCUGAAUUGGCCGGUGAGGCUCCUAACGAAGGAGCAGGAUCAGUUCCAGUCGGCAGCGAUCACUCUGGCUAGUUUUCUCAUAAACAGAUUGAAUGCACGUGGUUGGACAGGCGGGAGGAGGAGGCUCUAGGCUGAGCUUCCAGAAGUGACUCUGGGAACAACAUUGCAGGAUUAGCCCUCCACGGGGGCUGCCGCCUCUGCUGGCAUAUCAGGAAACUUGUCUCAAGGCAGGACCACCCAGCCUCGGCCAGCAGCCAAGCCAGCAAAAUAUGCGCCCUGUGUUCUGCCAGGAGAAAAGCCACCUCACGGAGGAUUUGCAAAUCUCUGUGGUGUGUCUGUUUGGUGGAAGCCAGCUCAUAAGGGAUGAUGGAACACCCUCCCUUGGGAGAAUCCAGGAUUUCCUGAAAUUUCUGGAGUAUCAGCUCUGCUACUACUUGCUCUCCCAUUCAAGAAAGCAUAUCAGAAGGGAGAAUUGCAACAUCCCCAACAACCGACUGUGAAGCUAUAAGGAUGCUGGAAACUGCUGCCCAGAGCGACCAUGCCGUGGAGCACUCUCUCAGACAGCCUGGAGGCACCUACCCGCCGUCUAAAUGGUACUCAUACGACCUUCCCUCCAACACCCCUCAGGGACUCUAACCCUGUCCAGUGCUAUGAGCCCUCCUGUGGGCUGUGUGACCUAGCAAAGAUCUUUCAUCCUGUUCCAUGUUUCAUUUUAGCUGUUUUGGCAGGUAGUAGAGAUUUCUAGCCUCAUUGUCCACAUUAACGUAAAUCAUCAUCUUUUCAGACACAAAUAUCAACUUCUUCCCAAAUGCUCUGAUCGUGGAGAGCUCAUUGACUGUUAACAACCACGAAUGGAUUUCAAAUUUCUCUCUGAGCAGGGGUGUAGUCUUUAAUAUCCAGGGAGAGGCUUUUUUUUCAAUGGUGAAAAGAUGAUGGCUUAAUCUUUUUUUCUCAUGUUCUGGUAUAAUAGAGACGAAUCAUGUCCAAGCAGUUUAAUCACGCCUGUCAUAAUGGAUGGUACAAUAUUUUCAAUUCUGUUUUAUUAGCAGUAUUUAAAGACCGUAGCAACUCAUAUUGUUCAGCUGGCCAAAAAUCUUUAACAUCUCUUUCAAAAUAAAAUAAAAUAAAAUAAAGGAAAGGAAGAAGAC
rnacentral:lncRNA from 1 species